UGCGUCCGGGCCGCGUGCGGUGCGCGCCGGCUGCUGGGCUAACUGCCAAGCGCAGGGGGCGGGGCCUGGCGUCUAGUGGCGCCGCGGGCUGAGUCUGUAAAGACUGAGGAUCGGUGUUUACAGACCUUUUCCGCCAAUUAACUUGAUGAACUUGAUAUAAAGUCAGGCGGUCUGCUGUUGAGAUAAAAAAUUGGGGGAGAGGGAGAAUAAGACAAAUGCUUCCAGAAGCCUCUUUUUGCUUGGUCCAUGUUUUCGGGUACCGCUACUCAAACCACUUUUGUUCGAGGAGAUUAGGAUAGGCCAAGCAAUGGGCCUGCCAGGGUAACCGAGGGAGGAACGCUGGCGAGCAGUUAGACGACUCGGGGUGAAGGAGAGAAGGAAGAGGGAAUGUCGGGUGAGGAACUCGCGGUUCCCAGCCAGUGUUUGUGACCCACAGGGACAGAGGAACGCCUGAGGAGUUGUAGAGUCUCUCAGGAUAAUCUCCUCAUGGCAUUUUCCUCACCCCUCCAGUGGGAAGUUAAGGAUUCACACAUUUUUGAGGGCAUCUCUUGGGGUAUGAAUGUAUCUUUCAAGAACAAGCGCGCCAUGGUUAAGUAAGGAACUGUGCAUCCUUACUUUUCCCUCCACUCCACUCGGGUUUUUGAUAGGAGAAAUAGCCCAAGGUCUCCCUGCCGAUAACUACCCUGCGUGCAUCAAAACAUUGUGUUCACGGAGGGACCGCUUUAAGGGACACUGCUCAGUGGGAGCCACUUGAAGGGACAUAGAACGGCUCAAGACUAUAUGGGAAUAAUGAAGCACCACAACCUGCCAUCAGGGCCAUUGUGGAUCAAACCCAGCUCAGACCAGUUACUUCUGAAAGCUACCGGUGAGACUCAGAAAUGGAACAGCAAAUGAAAGAAGGAUGACUGAUCAGGAAUGUACCUGGUCAUCUACAGAGAAAUAAACGUGCUCCUGGAAAUGGCUGAACUUCUGUUGUACUGGAUGGUCUGGCUGGGUAUUAGCUCCCAGCUGAUUAUAUCUACUGUCAACAAAGGAGAUUGCCUUCAGUAAUGAGAGGAGUCUCUUCAUCCAAUCAGUUGGAGGCCUAAAAGUGAGAAUUGAAGAUUUCAGCUACCAGAAAGAAGAAUUUCUGUCUCUACUUCAGCCAGCCCACUUCUCCUGGGGAUUUCAAUGUCACCUUCAUCAGUUUCCAACUUGUGGCUUGGCAUCUCUUGGAGAAUUCAACUUGACCUUCACAGAGUUUCUGACUUGUGGCCUGCCCUCUUAAAUUCUGACUUGCCAAUUCUCAUAAUCAUG